rnacentral:misc_RNA from 1 species
AACGCACCUUGCGCUCCUUGGUAUUCCGAGGAGCAUGCCUGUUUGAGUGUCAUUAAAUUCUCAACCCAUUCAAGUUUUUGAUACUUGAUAUGUGGCUUGGAUAUGGGGGUUUUGCAGGUCUCAGUUCGAGGUCAGCUCCCCUUAAAUGCAUUAGCGGAACUGUUUGCAAUCCGUCACUGGUGUGAUAAUUAUCUACAUCGUAGGGUUGCUCUCUGUCUGUUCAGCUUCUAACAGUCCCUUCAUAGGGACAACUUUUGACAGUUUGACCUCAAAUCAGGUAGGACUACCCGCUGAACUUAA